GUUCACUUUCUUUCCCUCCCAUGGCUUCACCACCGACAAUUAACCUCAUCUGGGUAGUCUUCUCCAGCGUACCCAUCGGAGAUCCUUGCUAUUCUUAGAACAUCACAGCUAACAGAACUUGAAGACGAUUGUUGCAGAAUAGGUCAAAAUUAGGGUUUGUAUUUUUUCAAAACAAACAGAGAUUAUGAGCACCUCCGUACAAUUUCCAGAAUAAAAAAUCGUGACCACCAUCUUCAACCAAACAGAGCACACGAUGGCGACGACCAACGGUGACACCCAUAUUUGUUGUUGCUAGCACGGUCUAAUAUUAAGGUAAUGUGUUUUUGGUUAUCCUUAUAAGAUCUUCUGUUUUCCUACACCUAAAUUUGUAAAGUCCUUCAAUUGUAUGCUUCAAACUAUAUGGUAUGCAUCUAUGGUUUAGAGUUUUAUAUAUAUGUCUAAUUGUGUUGAUCCUUGGCGCUUUUUACAUGGUAUUAGUCAUUUGGUUGUUAAAAAAAAUAUUAUGUUCUAAUAUGCAAAACGUGAAAGGUCAGUUUGGUUUAUAGAUUUCUUAAUGGGUCAAUUUUCUUUUUUUCUUUUUAAGCAAAAAGUUGAAAAAUGUCGGAUGAGUUAAAUUUUUCAUGACGGGUCAAUUUGGGUUGUACCUAAAAACACACAAAACCAUAGUAGGUGGUACCACCUUUAAUGAAAAAAACGUUACUCUAUUUUUAUGAAAAAAACCUUACUCCGUUUUUUAUGAAAAACCUUACAUUAUUUUACUAUUGCUUAUGAGUUAUGAAUGACUUAAAAACUGAGGUUGAGUCAUUUCAAGAAGAUGAUUCUGUUGAAAGCCAUAAACAAAAGGCUGUAGAAGCUUUAAGACGGAUGGAAAAUCGGAAUUCGUUUAGUAAUUUUUCAUCGUGAUGUAUACUUGGUUAUGCAUGAUAUUAUCUGAACACUGAUAGUUGUUUUCCCAGAAUUUGCACGCAUGAUGAAUUGAUACAACUAUCAUAUUUACAUCCUAUGUUUUCAAUACUUAGGACUACCAUAACUACACAGUUGCACGCGUGCUGUUCUUGCGCAUAUGGGCGGAACAUUAUGGGGAUCUAUGAGGCACAUUAUACCAGCUUCCACAUCAACACUUAGCACCCCCGCUGCAACGCGGGGGGUGCUUCCUUCUAGUUUUUGUAAAAUAUUAACUUUCAAUUAUUAGAAUUUUCUACGGAUAGAUUUUGUUCGAGUCUAUAUCUCUAUAUAUAUUUUUAAAAGAUAAACUUCAUUCACCAAAGAAACCAUAAGCAAGUUCUCAAAUUAAGGACCGUAAGGAAAACCAGAAAUUAUAUCAAUACUAGGUUAGAACCCCGUGUAAUACACGGGUUGAAUAAAUGUAAUUUAAUUUAUAUACCAAAUAAUAAAAAAAAUAUAUCUUUAAAAGCCUCGUUUAUUACACGGGUUGAAUAAAUGUAAUUUUAUAUACCAAAUAAUAAAACAAUAUAUAUCUUUAAAAUCUCGUUUAUCACACGGGUUGAAUAAAUGUAAUUUUAUAUACCAAAUAAUAAAAUAAUAUAUCUUUAAAAAUCUCGUUUAUUACAUGAGUUGAAUAAAUUUAAUUUUAUAUAUUAAAUAAUAAAAAAAUUAUAUCUUUAAGAACCCUGUGUAUUGUAUGGGUUGAGUAAAUUUAAUUUUAUAUAUUAAAGAAAAAAGUGCCGGAUAGUCCCUGUGGUUUACCUAUUUUUCACCUUUAGUCCCCAACUUUCUAAAAUUACAGCUAUAGUCCCCAACUUUUGCAAUUUCGUUCCUGGAUAGUCCCUGACACUGAUGGGGGUUAGUUUUCUCAGUUAAGUUGGUUUAAAAUGACUAUAAUGCCCUUAGUAUUAAAAA
rnacentral:lncRNA from 1 species